UCCUUCCUCUUCUAUCUAUAUUGUCCACCUUUAUUUUCUUUUACCCUUAUUUUCCCGUUGUCCAAACAGAUUAUAACUGUAACAGCGGAUGCAGAACAAGUCCUCCACCACCUCAAAACACUCAAACCCCUCUGAAACCUUGAUAAAAAUAUCAACCACAUCACAAACCAUUAAAUUUAGGCCGCUUUUCUUUUUCCUUUGAAAAAGGAAGAUUUGUUUUGUCGAAUUAAAAAAAAAAUUGCUUUGUGAGAAACAAUAAUUUUUUUUAUCACGUUAUAGAAAAUGAUAUUUAAAAAGUAAUUUCUCAAAAGUCUAGAAAAAAAAAAUAGAAGGAGAAAUACUGAAAUUCUGGAUUUCUGGAGACGCCUUUUAAAAAUCAACCCAAUCAAUCAAUCAAAAUGGCUUCUAUCUGUGUAUCUAACGGCGCGUUGAAUUGAAAAUGAGAGAAAAUUGCAGGGUGGGAGGUUUGAAUCUCCGAUCUGGUGGAGGAAAAACAUAUUUCUGUUUGAUU
rnacentral:misc_RNA from 1 species